rnacentral:ncRNA from 2 species
AACCUGGUCUCAGCAUCGGGCGGCACACAAGUAGCGGCGCCGUGCGAGGGAACCCGGUGGGAGUCCGGGAUUGUCCCGCCGCGGUAUGCCAGACCGACUGCCGUCUAUAGAUGGAUAACCACUGGUCACACGACUGGGAAGCGACGGCCACCGGGUUCGGUGCGCGCCUGUGAGUCCGAAGACCUGCCAGCUGUGCUGAGCGCGC